UGCUAUUUGAAAAUGAGUGACUACUUUCAAUAUGCUACAGUGGAAAUGAAUCCCUCAAAUUAAAACUCGAAUUGCUUGUCUCAUCAUUAAUACAUGAACUAUUUGGAUACUAUAAUAGUUGCUGUCCACAACUGGACUAAACAAGAAAAUAUUACCAGGCCUGAAGUUUCUGCUAUAGCAUGUCCUGUCUCUGGACAAACCAUGCCAAACAACUUCCCAGGAGCCUUGAUCUCCACAGCUGUCUCCUUUCUCUGCGAAGUCCCCAGAUUGUGAUUGACAAUGGUUCCAUAUCUGUGGCACAGGCAGUGGACGUAAUCAUGGGACAUAUCAUGGGCUCUCCAUGUUUCAUAUCACACCCCAGCCACAGUGUGGUCGAAACAUUUAACGAACAAUUAAAAGAUGCAGGAGGAAGAUAAGGGGGAUCGUCCCUGGAGAAUCUCCCACUGGCCUUCACGCUGGGAGAACAGGGUGGAGCCACAGGAAGUUCAUGUCAUUUGCAGGGGGAGGAUCCUGGCUUCUCCCGUUCCCAUGUGGUGACCUGAGAUUCAAUCUGUGAGCUGGGGAUCUGUUAACAGGAACGUGUCUCACUUUGCUGAGAGGUUUUUUUGUUUGUUUGUUUCCUUUUCACACAAUAAAUUCUACUCCCC
rnacentral:lncRNA from 1 species